GCCACCACGCCCGGCUAGUUUUUUGUAUUUUUAGUACGGAUGGAGUUUCACUGUGUUAGCCAGGAUGGUCUCGAUCGCCUGACCUCGUGAUCCGCCCAACUUGGCCUCCCAAAGUGCUGGAGUGAGAUACGGCGCCCGCCGAAAAUGUUUAUCCUCUUAUUUUCAAAGCAACCAGGCAAUCUCACACAAGUCUAUGUAAACGAUGUGAAACUCUAAGAACUUUAGUGAACGGAGAAACAGUCAAAUAUUGAUACUGUAUUUCUUGGAACAAGCUGCUGCCUUCAGAAGCACUGAUGCUUUUGUAGGAGGCAGGAGGCCAGGAAUCUUCCACUAACAAUGACACCAACCAUGGUGCAAAGCCAAGCUCUCUCGAGUGAGUUCUUUAUUCACCAAAGGAAGCUUCCUCUGAAAGAUUUCCAUGAACAACAGAAAUGCUCACCCCAGCCUUUUCGAAAACACACCCAUCUUGAAGUACACAGCUGAUGCCACCACCUCCUGUGUAGAGAAAUGUAAAAAAGGAGGGAAUGUAAGAGUAUGUACAAAACUGAAAGCAACCCUUGCAUGAAGAUGGUUAUCUUCCUGUUUUCCAAAUCUUUUAUAUCAGUGUAUUUAUCAUUUUAUGUACAAUACAAUUAGAUAACUAGCUCAGCUUCAUAGCAUACACUAUUAAUAUUGGGCAAAUACUGGACCUUCUCAUAUCACUAAACUGAAUAUUUCUUCAACAUUCUCCUGCCAUCAUCUAAAAUAAAUCACUGGAAUAUUCUCCCUUCAGA